rnacentral:lncRNA from 1 species
UGCUAUACUCAAAAAUUCUAUAUAUUUGAUUGCGAAAAUCCUAAAAUCGCCCCUACAAAUGAACAAAUAUGUGUUAGUUCGGUUCCAAUUACGUACGAACUAAUUACUAAAUUAAAAAAAAAUAUUACAAAGACUUACGAUAUGGACAGUCUCGCCGUCGUCGUGUCCCGCACGAUGGCUAGUUUGUCAUCCACAGUCAAGCCCGCAUGUCUAGCCAUCAUAGGAACGAUCACAGUCACAGCACUAAGUUCUUCUCAAGCUGUCCCUAUGUCAAACAUGAAUGAUCGGGGCACACAUAUCAUCGAAUCAGGGAACACGAUCUCCAAUGUGAGGCAGUGCUGAUUCACGAUCACUAGAAUGUACAAAUACGUACAACCCUCCCAUGGCUUUCCCCCAACACUCGGCGACAGCCUGAUGACCAACUCGAGUAUAUACACAGAAAGCACGUACUCAUUACCUAGAAGCUGGAGCGACUGAUACUCAAUGGUAACGGAACGGAAGAACUCGGUGUUCAGUAUUAUGCGACCAAGCUUGUGGAAUGAUUGUGGAUAUCUCUCAACUCGAUCGCGCAACAAGUCUAUGGCCAUGUCGAUGUG